UGGGGAAUAUUGCACAAUGGGCGCAAGCCUGAUGCAGCCAUGCCGCGUGUGUGAAGAAGGCCUUCGGGUUGUAAAGCACUUUCAGCAGUGAGGAAGGCGGGUACGUUAAUAGCGUAUUCGUUUGACGUUAGCUGCAGAAGAAGCACCGGCUAACUCCGUGCCAGCAGCCGCGGUAAUACGGAGGGUGCGAGCGUUAAUCGGAAUUACUGGGCGUAAAGCGCAUGCAGGUGGUUCGUUAAGUCAGAUGUGAAAGCCCGGGGCUCAACCUCGGAACUGCAUUUGAAACUGGCGGACUAGAGUACUGUAGAGGGGGGUAGAAUUUCAGGUGUAGCGGUGAAAUGCGUAGAGAUCUGAAGGAAUACCGGUGGCGAAGGCGGCCCCCUGG
rnacentral:rRNA from 1 species